GACACGGUGGUCUAGCGGUUAGAACGCUGGCCUUGUAAUCCUGGGGUCUCGGGUUCGAUUCCCGGCGGUCCCC
rnacentral:tRNA from 1 species